GUCAUGACAAUUCACCAACCUUCAAGUAGGCUAUACUACAUGUUUCAUAAGGUGUUACUGCUAUCUGAAGGGAACACAUUGUACUUUGGAAAGGGAUCUGAAGCCAUAGAGUAUUUUUCUAAUAUGGGAUAUGCCCCAUCUUUGGCCAUGAACCCCUCAGAUUUCCUUUUGGAUCUUGCAAACGGUAUCUACACUGAUGAAUUUAAUGCGGAU
rnacentral:sRNA from 1 species